ACUCAAAUGAAUAGACGGGGACCCGCACAAGCGGUGGAACAUGUGGUUUAAUUCGAAGCAACGCGAAAAACCUUACCAGGGCUUGACAUCUGAGGAACAUUUGGGAAACCAAGUGGUGCUCUUCGGAGAACCUCAAGACAGGUGGUGCACGGUUGUCGUCAGCUCGUGUCGUGAGAUGUUGGGUUAAGUCCCGCAACGAGCGCAACCCUCGUGGUUAGUUGCCUGCAACGGUUUACUGUUGUAGUGCUCUCUAGCCAGACUGCCGGUGAUAAACCGGAGGAAGGUGGGGACGACGUCAAAUCAUCAUGCCCCUUAUGCUCUGGGCUACACACGUGUUACAAUGGCUGGUACAACGAGUCGCCAACUCGCGAGAGUGAGCAAAUCUCUUAAAACCAGUCUCAGUUCGGAUUGCACUCUGCAACUCGAGUGCAUGAAGUCGGAAUCGCUAGUAAACGCAGAUCAGCACGCUGCGUUGAAUACGUUCCCGGGUCUUGUACACACCGCCCGU
rnacentral:rRNA from 1 species